UACGUAGGGGGCAAGCGUUGUCCGGAAUCAUUGGGCGUAAAGAGCGUGUAGGCGGUCCGGUCAGUCGGCUGUGAAAGUCCAGGGCUCAACCCUGGGAUGCCGGUCGAUACUGCCGGACUAGAGUUCGGAAGAGGCGAGUGGAAUUCCCGGUGUAGCGGUGAAAUGCGCAGAUAUCGGGAGGAACACCUAUGGCGAAGGCAGCUCGCUGGGACGUUACUGACGCUGAGACGCGAAAGCGUGGGGAGCAAACAGG
rnacentral:rRNA from 1 species